GACGGUUUAAUUACUUGUAAUGAAACACACCAAUUAAUUGUAUGUGAUAUUGAUCAUGUCAACACCUGACUAUAAUUUUUUACAAUAUACAUUGUAAUGAGUUUCUCAGCUGCUUUGGUAUUUCACAGUUAAUAGUAUCACAUGAAAUCAGCCAGCUAGCUACCUGUAUUAUUUGAUAGAUGAUGAAUUGAAGUUGUUCCUUUUUUUUUGUGUGUUCUCUUUGAAUCUGUUUAUCCAUAACAUCAUGCAAUUAACCACCUGAAUUUUGUUAUUUUUGUCUGGUCAAUGUGAUUAGUAGUGAUUUUAUUUUUGUUAUAAACGAGCGAUAUGAUUGAAAGGGUUGAUCAAUCUGUUUUAUCAUCUUCAGUAGCUUAGUUUACAAACUGACCAUGUUCCUUUUUUGCAGUUAAACGAUAUAAAAAAAACUAGCAUGAAAUCAGGGUCCGGCCAGUAGUAUUUGUCACACCAUGAUCUUUUUAAGCAUUUACUUAUAAUGUCGAACUUUUAAAUGACUAGCAACAAGUGCAUUUUUUGUAAUCACGGACUACAAGUUGUUUUAGUUCUCGAGCUGUUAACAUUGGUUUUGUUGUGGCUCUUGGAAAGGUCUUGGGGGUGGAGGGGACCGCAGGGAUACCUGUUCUAUGUGUCCCUUAAAUAGGUUCAAUUGCAGCAUGAUAUAUAUAUAUACAUGAUAAAUGAGACUAAUCUCUACACAACAUAUUUUAGCCAUAGACAACACUGUAUACAUUAUACAGCUGUACAAUACAAUCAUAUAAUGCAUAUAUUGUUGUGUAUACAAAAAAAAAUGUUGUGUAAGGAUCGCCUCCCAUAAAUGAAUGCUUAUGUGAAUUUAUAAUUUCAUCAGUUAGCUAACUAGCUAUGGGAUCGAUUAAACCUAAGAUCAGUCUGAUUCACUUUUUUUUAUUAUUAUUUUAGAUUGUCUUAGUUAUUAUUCAUGGUCUUUAUGGAUGUACAGCUUAUGGCUUGGAUAUAGCUCCCAAAUUUGAGAUUUCACAUUACUUUAAUUACAUACGAUAUAUAGGUAUUAAAAAUAAUUAUGAUGUGAACAACGUUAGGUUGUUACGAGUAUUUCUUAAUUACAUGGUAAAAAUUCUUUUGCAUAUCCUCUACUCAUUCUUCAAACAUGUCAUUCUUUCACCUUCCCUGCCUAUAGAAAAACUAACGCAAAAACUAAGAUUACCUGUAUGACAGGUGCUAUGCUAGCCUUUUUCGGGGAGCAAACGUAUAAGGGCCUUUGGCAACUAUAGUUACAGCAUGACAUAAUUUUGCUAAUUUAUGUAAUCUUUCAUAUACAAUGACUGAACAAGAUUUUGCUCGUUCUUUCUAGAUUUUUCAGGUUAAAAGAGACAAGGUUCAAAAGUACAUUGAUUAAAUAAGGACAUAAAAAGAUUCUACACGCAAGAUAUUCAUAUUGCCCGUUGCCCCAGUUUUGAUGGGAUGUUGAAUGGACAUAUCUGGGAUCGAGCUUUUCAUUAAUCAAUUGUCCCUUUGCAAGAGAUGUUUAAUUAGUCGGAAAGUGUUAAAAUCUUGGUAGAAUAUCAAAACACAAGAACCUAAUUCAGCUAUUGAUUGUCUGCAUUGGGCUGCCAACUUGGGCUUCAUACUUCGAUUAAAAUCUUGGUAGAAUAUCAAAACACAAGAACCUAAUUCAGCUAUUGAUUGUCUGCAUUGGGCCGCCAACUUGGGCUUCAUACUUCGAUGCAGUGGAAAGUGUGGCUUUGGUAGCUCCAUAAUAAGUGGAACCAACAGUAGUUUGUCACUUUGUCUUUGGUACCCUUCUAGUGAACAAUCCGGAAUGGCUGGCAGAUCGAGAUUAAAUAUGAUUGUCGUUAGGCAUACGCUUCUCUGUGUUUCCAUUGUCUGAUGAUACUUAGAAGGAAAAUCCCGGUGAGCACAUUCAUGCUGAAUUGCUGAUAGCUAGAUACCUGGCUCUUGAUACACACAGUCCCAUUUCUGGUUAAACAACGUGCCAACCAAAACACAUUGAUGUUGUACAUAUGAAGAUGCAUCUAAUUAACCUUUGACAAUAACUACAGGGGCUAGCUUUAGAAUGAGUGUACUUAUCCUUCAAAGUUUCUUUAAACGCCUCAUUGGAGAUCGAUAGUGAACUGACGCUGAAUAUGCUUCAGAUUACAAGCUAGUACGCCGGUUCUUUUUUUUUGAAAGAGUUAUUGUAUGCAACAAGCUAGGAAGUAAUUAACCUGGGGGGUAACUUAGUUCAUUCUAUCCAAUUUUAAUGUCUACACUAUAUAUAGUACCUAUUAACUAGAUGGCUUCAAUAUCAUCUGAAUAUUGUGUCAUGUUUUAUGCUUUGAAAGCUUGAAGUAGUAGAUGUCGUUUCUCUAUCAGGAAUUUUCAUAUUGACUACACCCGGUAUGCCAAUCAAUUGAAUUCUGUACGUUUUUUUUUA